UGGCAUUCGUCUAGCCAUUAUUGAUGGUUGCCAAGUGGUAGAUUAAAGUUGGCCAUGACCAACCUUACAUGAAUCUACGGCUUCAAUGAUCUAAAUAAGUGGAUCAAAGAUAUCACCGGCACAGAUUCAUGAUGCAUGUCAAGUCACUAUUGGUGUCCGAGCUUGGUUGCUAAAAUACAUUAACCAUAUUAGGUCAGCUUCGACUUUGAGUUUCUACUCUCUUCAACCGACCUCAACUCUAAAUUGAACUUGAGACCCAAGGGGGCAAGUAUUGUGUCGACCUUGGCCUUGGCCGACCAAGUCCUUAGAUAUGAAUGAGGU
rnacentral:lncRNA from 1 species